GGUCGUAUAGUGUAGUUGGUUAUCACAUCGGAUUCUGAUGUUCUGCAUCUGAUCUUCCGGGGACCUGAGUUCGAAUCUCGGUAUGACCU